rnacentral:rRNA from 1 species
GACGAACGCUGGCGGCGUGCUUAACACAUGCAAGUCGAACGAAAAGAGGGAAAGAGCUUGCUCUUUCCGGAAUUGAGUGGCAAACGGGUGAGUAACACGUAAACAACCUGCCUUCAGGAUGGGGACAACAGACGGAAACGACUGCUAAUACCGAAUAAGUUCCAAGAGCCGCAUGGCCCAUGGAAGAAAAGGUGGCCUCUACCUGUAAGCUAUCGCCUGAAGAGGGGUUUGCGUCUGAUUAGCUGGUUGGAGGGGUAACGGCCCACCAAGGCGAAGAUCAGUAGCCGGUCUGAGAGGAUGAACGGCCACACUGGAACUGAGACACGGUCCAGACUCCUACGGGAGGCAGCAGUGGGGAAUCUUCCGCAAUGGGCGAAAGCCUGACGGAGCAACGCCGCGUGAGUGAUGACGGCCUUCGGGUUGUAAAACUCUGUGAUCCGGGACGAAAAGGCAGAGUGCGAAGAACAAACUGCAUUGACGGUACCGGAAAAGCAAGCCGCGGCUAACUACGUG